GAGGUACUCCCUCCGUCCGGAAAUACUUGUCGGAGAAAGGAAAAAAAAUGAAUGUAUCUAGAACUAAAAUACAUCUAGAUAUAUAUAUCAAUUUCUGAGAUAAGUAUUUCCGGACGGAGGGAGUAGUAA
rfam:Triticum aestivum genome assembly, contig: Triticum_aestivum_CS42_TGACv1_scaffold_289074_4AL